rnacentral:rRNA from 1 species
CAAUAGCGUAUAUUAAAGUUGUUGCAGUUAAAAAGCUCGUAGUUGGAUUUGUGGCUGUCACGGGCGGCCUACCACUUAGUGUUAGUGCUUGCCUGUGUCGCCAUCCUUGGGUGGAGCCCGUGUGGCAUUAGGUUGUCGUGCGGGGGAUGCCCAUCGUUUACUGUGAGAAAAUUAGAGUGUUCAAAGCAGGCUUAUGCCAUUGAAUAUGUUAGCAUGGAAUAAUAGGAUAGGACCUCGGUACUAUUUUGUUGGUUUGCGCACCGAGGUAAUGAUUAAUAGGGACAGUUGGGGGUAUUCGUAUUUCAUUGUCAGAGGUGAAAUUCUUGGAUUUCUGAAAGACGAACUACUGCGAAAGCAUUUACCAAGGAUGUUUUCAUUAA